UUGUUUAGCAGUGUGCGAGCGUGCACAGUUCACUGUAAAUUGUUCUGCGCAUGCGUGAAGAACAAAUUACAUUGAACUGCAAAGCGCGCGCAAAGCAAACCGGUAGUAAAACUGGGAGCAGCCCAUCUCUGGCUAGGGAUGCUUUGCUCAGCUUUGAUUGGUGUGCCAAUGGCUUCACAUUGAAUUGGUUGAAAUUAAAUUCCUAUCCUCUUCCCCUCUCUAUGUAUAACAGUGGCCAAAAACACAUUCUAAUGAGCAUUAUUGAAAACAAAUCCCUGGAAGCAUGCUGCCCUAAUUCAGAAGCCAACCAUCUGCCUUAUAUACACAGCAACUCGGGAAGGUGUACAAAGAAGACAUAAAAACUUAAGAAGGCCACAUGGCUACAUGUUCCCCUGUGGGCCUGAAGCAAGCGGAGGAGCAUUUCUGAAAUGGAGAAAGUUGGUGUGGUUUCUUAGAUUUUUCUCCAUGAUGAUUUGUCCCUAACCUGGUCUUUCAAGUCUUAAAAAGCCAAUGAAAUACACACCCAAACAAGUUUUUGGAAUUAAGAAGAGAGUCCAAAGAAAUUAAAACUUUGAG